CAGGAUGAACGCUGGCGGCGUGCCUAAUACAUGCAAGUCGAACGAAUCUCUUUUAGAGAUGAGUGGCGAACGGGUGAGUAAUACAUAGGUAACCUGCCCCUGUGCGGGGGAUAACAGGAGGAAACUCCUGCUAAUACCGCAUAGCCAUGAGCACCGCAUGGAGCUCAUGCCAAAUAUCCUUUAUGGGAUAGCGCAGGGAUGGACCUAUGGCGCAUUAGCUGGUUGGCGGGGCAACGGCCCACCAAGGCAACGAUGCGUAGCCGGCCUGAGAGGGCGGACGGCCACAUUGGGACUGAGACACGGCCCAGACUCCUACGGGAGGCAGCAGUAGGGAAUUUUCGGCAAUGGGGGAAACCCUGACCGAGCAACGCCGCGUGAGCGAAGAAGGCCUUCGGGUCGUAAAGCUCUGUUGUAAAGGAAGAACGGCGCAUACAGGAAAUGGUAUGCGAGUGACGGUACUUUACCAGAAAGCCACGGCUAACUACGUGCCAGCAGCCGCGGUAAUACGUAGGUGGCGAGCGUUAUCCGGAAUCAUUGGGCGUAAAGAGGGAGCAGGCGGCCGCAAGGGUCUGUGGUGAAAGACCGAAGCUAAACUUCGGUAAGCCAUGGAAACCGGGCGGCUAGAGUGCGGAAGAGGAUCGUGGAAUUCCAUGUGUAGCGGUGAAAUGCGUAGAUAUAUGGAGGAACACCAGUGGCGAAGGCGACGGUCUGGGCCGCAACUGACGCUCAUUCCCGAAAGCGUGGGGAGCAAAUAGGAUUAGAUACCCUAGUAGUCCACGCCGUAAACGAUGGUCACUAAGUGUCGGGGGUCAAACCCCGGUGCUGCAGUCAACGCAAUAAGUGACCCGCCUGAGUAGUACGUUCGCAAGAAUGAAACUCAAAGGAAUUGAC
rnacentral:rRNA from 1 species